AAUCCUAUUGCUCUUCCAAAGAUAAAACACUUUUUAAACUUUGAACAGGCACCACACUUCAUAGGUAGUUUGUCAAGGUCCUGUCGCGUUUGGUCUUGAAGCUUCAUGGACACGUUGGCCAGAGGCCUCUACAGACCAUUCUGUUGGGCUGCUAGAUUGGGUGGGGGAGUAGAUGGAGUGUGAAGCUGAGGUUAAUCUUGGAGCCGUGAAAGAGGGCGGAGGCCCUGUGUGGUUUUGCUUAUAAACAGCCUUGUCGUCGUGGCAUCUUCUAUGUGUCAUAAAAUGCCCUCCUUCCAGGUGAACAACUCAGUGAUUGAACAACUUUAGUAACUUUACCAAGUGGUAAAAUCACCCCCG
rnacentral:lncRNA from 1 species